CUUGAAUUGUAGGACCAUGUGACACUUUGCCAUGUAUACCAGCAGAAACGCAAAGGGCCGCUCAAUUACACAGUUUAUUCUCCUCCCAGGCAAGAUCUCUUGGGUAAUUUCGUGCCUGAAGACUAUGGUGAGGAUGGAUUGUUAGCCGCUAUUUCGCCAUUCUUCCGUCAGAACUUGAACAGCCAGAAUCACCAAGCGGCAAACAAUCAGGAGGCUGUGCUACCGACGGCAAAGCGCAAAUCAGGUGUUUGGAAUGAUUUCACCAAGAUAUACGUGAAAGAUCCUGCUGUCAAUCUCAAACAAGAGUACGCGAUGUGCAACUCCUGCCACAUCUUGCUAAAAGCUCCUUCAAGUAACGGCACAAACACCCUAUGGAAACACACCGGAACCUGCGGAUGUAAACGCCUGCAGGCUGCAGCAGCAAACACAGUAGCCACCACCGGACUGGUGUUCUGAAAUGCUAGACUAGCAGAAAUCACAGGACGUACGCAUUUCGACGCG